rnacentral:rRNA from 1 species
UGGGGAAUAUUGCACAAUGGGCGCAAGNCUGAUGCAGCAACGCCGCGUGGGGGAUGACGGCCUUCGGGUUGUAAACCUCUUUUAGCAGGGAAGAAGCGAAAGUGACGGUACCUGCAGAAAGAGCGCCGGCUAACUACGUGCCAGCAGCCGCGGUAAUACGUAGGGCGCAAGCGUUAUCCGGAAUUAUUGGGCGUAAAGAGCUCGUAGGCGGUCUGUCGCGUCUGCUGUGAAAACCCGAGGCUCAACCUCGGGCCUGCAGUGGGUACGGGCAGACUAGAGUGCGGUAGGGGAGAUUGGAAUUCCUGGUGUAGCGGUGGAAUGCGCAGAUAUCAGGAGGAACACCGAUGGCGAAGGCAGAUCUCUGGGCCGUAACUGACGCUGAGGAGCGAAAGGGUGGGGAGCAAACAGGCUUAGAUACCCUGGUAGUCCACCCCGUAAACGUUGGGAACUAGUUGUGGGGUCCAUUCCACGGAUUCCGUGACGCAGCUAACGCAUUAAGUUCCCCGCCUGGGGAGUACGGCCGCAAGGCUA